rnacentral:rRNA from 2 species
UGGGGAAUAUUGCACAAUGGGCGCAAGCCUGAUGCAGCCAUGCCGCGUGUAUGAAGAAGGCCUUCGGGUUGUAAAGUACUUUCAGCGGGGAGGAAGGGAGUAAAGUUAAUACCUUUGCUCAUUGACGUUACCCGCAGAAGAAGCACAGGCUAACUCCGUGCCAGCAGCCGCGGUAAUACGGAGGGUGCAAGCGUUAAUCGGAAUUACUGGGCGUAAAGCGCACGCAGGCGGUUUGUUAAGUCAGAUGUGAAAUCCCCGGGCUCAACCUGGGAACUGCAUCUGAUACUGGCAAGCUUGAGUCUCGUAGAGGGGGGUAGAAUUCCAGGUGUAGCGGUGAAAUGCGUAGAGAUCUGGAGGAAUACCGGUGGCGAAGGCGGCCCCCUGGACGAAGACUGACGCUCAGGUGCGAAAGCGUGGGGAGCAAACAGG